GUCCACGCCGUAAACGAUGGAUACUAGCUGUUCGGAGCAAUCUGAGUGGCUAAGCGAAAGUGAUAAGUAUCCCACCUGGGGAGUACGUUCGCAAGAAUGAAACUCAAAGGAAUUGACGGGGGCCCGCACAAGCGGUGGAGCAUGUGGUUUAAUUCGAUGAUACGCGAGGAACCUUACCAAGGCUUAAAUGUAGUUUGACCGAUUUGGAAACAGAUCUUUCGCAAGACAAAUUACAAGGUGCUGCAUGGUUGUCGU
rnacentral:rRNA from 1 species